rnacentral:rRNA from 1 species
GUGGNUGCUGCGUNCCACGCUUUCGACAUAGCGUCAGUACAGACNGAAAGUCGCCUUCGCCACUGGUGUUCCUCCAUAUCUCUGCGCAUUUCACCGCUACACAUGGAAUUCCACUUUCCUCUUCUGCACUCAAGUUUUCCAGUUUCCAAUGACCCUCCACGGUUGAGCCGUGGGCUUUCACAUCAGACUUAAAAAACCGCCUACGCGCGCUUUACGCCCAAUAAUUCCGGAUAACGCUUGCCACCUACGUAUUACCGCGGCUGCUGGCACGUAGUUAGCCGUGGCUUUCUGAUUAGGUACCGUCAAGACGUGCAUAGUUACUUACACAUUUGUUCUUCCCUAAUAACAGAGUUUUACGAUCCGAAGACCUUCAUCACUCACGCGGCGUUGCUCCGUCAGGCUUUCGCCCAUUGCGGAAGAUUCCCUACUGCUGCCUCCCGUAGGAGUCUGGACCGUGUCUCAGUUCCAGUGUGGCCGAUCACCCUCUCAGGUCGGCUACGCAUCGUUGCCUUGGUAAGCCGUUACCUUACCAACUAGCUAAUGCGGCGCGGAUCCAUCUAUAAGUGACAGCAAAACCGUCUUUCACUAUUGAACCAUGCGGUUCAAUAUAUUAUCCGGUAUUAGCUCCGGUUUCCCGAAGUUAUCCCAGUCUUAUAGGUAGGUUAUCCACGUGUUACUCACCCGUCCGCCGCUAACGUCAGAGGAGCAAGCUCCUCGUCUGUUCGCUCGACUUGAUGUAUAAGCACGCCCGCCAGCGUCAUCCUGAGCCANGAUAA